UUGGCCCUUGCAGUGUGAGUGAGGCAGAGAGGGUGUGACCUGCCUCAGCACCCGGAGACCCCACUCUGAAGGCUGGGGACCACCACUGUGGCAGUUUCUCCCACCACCAUCAUCUCCCCAUCGCCAGGACAAGCACAUCAGGAGGCUAUGGCUCUGAUCUGAGUGAGGCAAUGGUAGCAUAGGUGUGGAGAGAAGACCUAUUGGGAAUCUGGGAGCGAGGAAUGAAAGAUGAGUUUACGACGCAAGGAAUGCAGGGAUACCAGCAGAUGCCCACAUCCCUGCGGUUCUUUCUCUGUCAGUAUCCUUGGAGGGAAGUUUUCUCUGUCAGUCAUCUUAGAAGGAGAACUUGGAUACAGUGGCUUUGGAUUAGGAGGUAAACAUCGGACAGGAGAGCUGAGAAGAGUGAAAUCCCAAGGCGCAGGUCACAGGAGCUCAACAAAUCUGUGACUUCAUCUCACCAGGCCCUCCCUGAGAAACUCUGGAGAAAGGGUAGCCAGCCACUCCUCUGUAGACCUAACUCCCUGGGUCCUGGUCCCUGGAGAAGCUGCACCAGAGUGCCAUGGUGACAGCGGUCACGUGAGAGAUGUAGGCCCCCACCUCUGCACCCCGAGGACUCCCUGUACCACAGGUAGAAGGAGGUUUGGGAGCAGGACCCCUGGGCUUUCAUGCAGGGCCUCUUAAUUGUCUUGGGGACAGACACAGCUGAGGGAUGGUGUUUCUGACUUCAGCCCUCCACAAAGGGCUAGUCUAGCCCAGCCUGGGGGGGAAGCUUAGGGGGAGCGGCUACAAGACCAAAGGGGAGGAAACACCAGAAGCCACAGAGGAAGGAACAGGUGCUGAGAGAGAGAAAUGCUGCUGGCCUCCAGGCAACAAUCAAAAUUAAGGAAAUGCUCAAAUAAAUGACAGGAUGGGGGCAUCUGGAAAGAACACAGGAACCAACCUGGGGGAGCCCUCAGUGGCCAAAGCUGGAACAAUCUGAGCAAUACAGUAAAUAAUGUAGUGUUGGGUUGUUACCCAAAACAUAAAAAUUGAUGUUUGA